AGUGAACGCUGGCGGUAGGCCUAACACAUGCAAGUCGAACGGCAGCACAGUAAGAGCUUGCUCUUACGGGUGGCGAGUGGCGGACGGGUGAGGAAUACAUCGGAAUCUACUUUUUCUUGGGGGAUAACGUAGGGAAACUGACGCUAAUACCGCAUACGACCUACGGGUGAAAGCAGGAGAUCUUCGGACCUUUCCCGAUUGUAUGAGCCGAUGUCGGAUUAGCUAGUUGGCGGGGUAAAGGCCCACCAAGGCGACGAUCCGUAGCUGGUCUGAGAGGAUGAUCGGCCACACUGGAACUGAGACACGGUCCAGACUCCUACGGGAGGCAGCAGUAGGGAAUAUUGGGCAAUGGGCGCAAGCCUGAUCGAGCCAUACCGCGUGAGUGAUGAAGGUCUUCGGGUUGUAAAACCCUUUUGUUGGGAAAGAAAAGCUGCAGAUUAAUACACCGCUGUUUUGACGGUACCCAAAGAAAAAGCAACGGCUAACUUCGUG
rnacentral:rRNA from 1 species